CUCGCCCAAUUUCGCACGUGCCUGUGGUUGCGUGCCGGUUGGUGGGCAUCCGGACAAGAGGCCGGACAGCCGCCCGAAGGCUUGGGGAUGCAGCGCCGGUUUUCCGGCUCGCAUUCCAGGGGCGCCGCAAGGCGCGGGGCCUUCGAUACCUAACCGGCAGCCGGAGGCAAACCGGCGAACUCUGCCCUCCGCAGAGGACGCGACUUGAAGCAACGACGAUCGGGCUUUUUUGGUCUCAGCCGGUGUCCAGAGCCGGCGACUGAAGAGGCUUGUUCUUCUUGCCGGCCGUGCGGUUCGGGGUCUCCCCAAGCCAAGCGAAGGCGUCUUUGUUCAAACGCAUCGGCCGAUCGCGGCAGAUGCGUCGAAAGGCGUCUCGGCGAACGU
rnacentral:misc_RNA from 1 species